rnacentral:rRNA from 1 species
GAUGAACGCUACCGGCAGACUUAACACAUCAAAGUCGAGGGGUACCAGAGGGUGCUUGCACCUUGCUGACGACCGGCGCACGGGUGCGUAACGCGUAUGCAACCUACCUUCUACAGGGGGAUAGCCCAGAGAAAUUUGGAAUAAUACGCCAUACGAUCAUUGAUUGGCAUCGAUCAAUGAGGAAAACUCCGAUGGUAGAAGAUGGGCAUGCGUCCUAUUAGUUAGUUGGUGAGGUAACGGCUCACCAAGACGUCGAUAGGUAGGGGCCCUGAGAGGGGGAUCCCCCACACUGGUACUGAGACACGGACCAGACUCCUACGGGAGGCAGCAGUGAGGAAUAUUGGACAAUGGGGGCAACCCUGAUCCAGCCAUGCCGCGUGCAGGAAGACUGCCCUAUGGGUUGUAAACUGCUUUUAUACAGGAAGAAACACUCCCUCGUGAGGGAGCUUGACGGUACUGUACGAAUAAGGAUCGGCUAACUCCGUG